rnacentral:rRNA from 1 species
UUCUUCUAGACUAUACCUUAGAAGUAAGUUCUGCCCAGUGAUAUUUAAUUUAACGGCCGCAGUAUUUUAACUGUGCAAAGGUAGCAUAAUAAUUUGUUUUCUAAUUAAAAACUUGAAUGAAAGAAUAUAUUAUUAAUUAUUUUUUAAAAAAAUACUGUUAAAAAUUUGGAGCUCAAGUAAAAACACUUGUAAGAAAGAGAAAGACGAUAAGACCCUAUAAAGCUUUAAAUCUUUAAUUAUUCAAUACAUAUUAAGUUGAAUUACUAAGAAUUUUUUAAUUGGGGCAAUAGUAAUAAUAAAACAAUUACAAAAUAAUAAUUAAAUAAUAAGUUUUUAGAUCCUACAAAUAUAAUAAUGACUAUUAGAAAAGUUACUUUAGGGAUAACAGCGUAAUUUUUCUGGAGAGUUCUUAUCAAUAGAAAAGAUUUCGACCUCGAUGUUGAAUUAUAUAAAUUAUAUAUGUAAAAGUAUAUAUUUUUAAGUCUGUUCGACUACUAAGAUUAU